rnacentral:lncRNA from 1 species
GAACAUGAGGAUGUGAACCUGAGUAAGACGGAUCUCUACCCAAAGGAGCAUGGUCUAAUAAACAGAGAAGGCUCAGGAGGGUCAGAAACACGGUGCCUCAUUUCUCAGCCUACUUGCCAAGAAUUCCCAAAAAGGAAGCACUGGAGGAUCAUUCCAAGGCUUGAGGUCCAGGACUACCCACUUCCCUUGGAAUGGUGUUGCCAUCACUGUUCUGGCACCGGAGAAAGGAUUCUACAUCGUUAGGAGAAAAGAAAAAGGAGAAUUUGGGCUUGCACUGAGAGGAUUACCUUUGGUGGUCUGGAAGUGGUGGCUGCACAGGGAGCAUGGCUGGGAGGCCUCAGGAAACUGACAAUCAUCAGUAGAAGAUGAAGAGGAAGGAGGCGCAUCUUACAUGGCCAGAGAAGGAGGAAGAAUAAGAAGGGAUUCUCCAGCUGGAGCCCUAUAAAUUGGACUGACAAAAGACAGAUUAGCAAGAGAAAUGCAAGCAGCAGUUUAUUAACAUGUGCAUCAUGAUUACACAUGGAAGUACCCAGAGGUCAUAAGACCUCAUGUGACAAGUGCCCUCCUUACUCCCAGAGAAAAGGAAGGAAGACACAGAAACACCACGAAGAAUAUGGACAAACAGACCUUGCUAAGUUCCCCCCCAUUUAUUACCAUGACAUCAUACUCCCU